rnacentral:rRNA from 1 species
GACGAACGCUGGCGGCGUGCUUAACACAUGCAAGUCGAACGGAAAGGCCUGCUUUCCCUUGUGGAUUGCGGGUACUCGAGUGGCGAACGGGUGAGUAACACGUGAGUGAUCUGCCCCCAACUUGGGUAUAAGCCUGGGAAACUGGGUCUAAUUCCCGAUAGGACUGCAGGGUGGUGCCUGUGGUGGAAAACGAUUUUCUAGUGGUUGGGGAUGAGCUCGCGGCCUAUCAGCUUGUUGGUGGGGUAAUGGCCUACCAAGGCGGCGACGGGUAGCCGGCCUGGGGUAGUGGACGGCAGCAUUGGGACUGCGAUACGGCCCAGACUCCUACGGGAGGCAGCAGUGGGGAAGAUUGCACAAUGGGCGGAAGCCUGAGGCAGCGACGCCGCGUGAGGGAUGACGGCCUUCGGGUGGUAAACUCCUUUCGACCGCGAGGAAGCCACCUGGUUGGAAGGGUGGUGACGGUAGUGGUAGAAGAAGCACCGGCUAACUACGUG